rnacentral:rRNA from 1 species
CGCAGGCGGGAGAACAAGUUGGAAGUGAAAUCCAUGGGCUCAACCCAUGAACUGCUUUCAAAACUGUUUUUCUUGAGUAGUGCAGAGGUAGGCGGAAUUCCCGGUGUAGCGGUGGAAUGCGUAGAUAUCGGGAGGAACACCAGUGGCGAAGGCGGCCUACUGGGCACCAACUGACGCUGAGGCUCGAAAGUGUGGGUAGCAAACA